rnacentral:rRNA from 1 species
GACGAGCCACACGAACGUUAUUCGGAAUUACUGGGCUUAAAGGGUGCGUAGGCUGCGCGGAAAGUUGGGUGUGAAAUCCCUCGGCUCAACCGAGGAACUGCGCCCAAAACUGCCGCGCUCGAGGAAGAUAGAGGUAAGCGGAACUUACGGUGGAGCGGUGAAAUGCGUUGAUAACGUAAGGAACACCUGUGGCGAAAGCGGCUUACUGGGUCUUUUCUGACGCUGAUGCACGAAAGCUAGGGGAGCAAACGGG